CAGUCUAGUGGUAUGAUUCUCGCUUAGUAAGUCGACUUAGACAUAAGUCUCUGCCUCAUCAUCCUAACAAAUCCUAGGGGUAAACCCAAGCACAGCUUGCGAGAGGCCCCGCGUUCGAGUCGCGGUAAGA